UCCUUCUUCCACCCACGGCCCAACUCCCCCUCCACCUUCCUUCGGCCAGGAUCUGCCAACACUGACAGAAUCCCCUCUCCCCUCCGUCUCCCCCUUUUACCGCUCGCAACGGCCUUCCUCCACCGCCGGGCGGUGCGGCCACGGCUCACAGCGCCACCAGCCAAAAAUCUGUGUGUCGCCUCCUCUAUCUCGCGUUGCCUCCUAUCCAUGUGCUUACCUAGCUCCCCCGGGCCAAACAUCGACACGCAUCUCCGGCCUCCCCGUGCCUAUCCGGCAAAGCAAUCAAAUUGAUUCAGCUAAGCCACACCCCCCUGUGAAGAAACGGACUGGUGACAGGCGCCAGGCGCCAGGCGCACUACCACAACCAGAUCUGGCUCUACCUUCUCCCCCCAGGCCUCCUCUCCGUGUUGAUUCAGUAGAGACCGAUUUGUCUUGCUAAUGCAACUUCUCAGCAGCGGGUCUAAGCCAAGAACUGCCCCUAGCACGCCUACCGUGGCUGAUACUAGCCGGCAACCAUUGUCCAUUGCCCUAGUGCAGCUCGGUUGCGCCUGAAUAUGCAGCUCGGUUGCUGCCCUCUCCUUUCUUAUGACUCACGCUGCUUGUGGAGGGAAGAGUGGCGGAGGAGGAGAGUGCUUACAGUUUGUCGGGGACGUUGGUGACUUACAGGCGCCCUACAUGCACCCGCUCCUCAUGCUGGUUCUGGCCUGGAUCCGUGGAUGACGGCGUGCUCGUUCUGGCCUGGAUCCGUGGCUGACGGGUGCGAGAAUCAUCCCAGCGCCAGCCCACGAAUGGUCAGCGCCGGAUCUGGGAACCACGCCAAACUUCAGCACCCAUGCCGCACUCCCCUUCCACAUCCGUCAGCGCGCAUAGGGGUCGGCUGGCUGGGGGUCGCCAUCCGGUUGUGGCUCGCCGACGGAUGUAGUUCGGUUGUCCUGUCUGCAUCUCUGCUUCCGACCAGGGCUCAUCGACGGAUGCAGUGCGGUAGGGCAGUACAUGUAGUUCGGUAGGUCCGUGGAUGCAGUGCGGCAGGGCAGUAGAUGUAGUUAGAGCAUCUCCAACAGACGCGCUACGAAGCCGCGCGCUAAAAAAAAUUUACCACGUCAAAAUAACGUUUUACAGUGCCGGA